rnacentral:rRNA from 1 species
AACGAACGCUGGCGGCAGGCUUAACACAUGCAAGUCGAGCGCCCCGCAAGGGGAGCGGCAGACGGGUGAGUAACGCGUGGGAAUCUACCCAUCUCUACGGAAUAACGCAUGGAAACGUGUGCUAAUACCGUAUACGUCAUUCGGGAGAAAGAUUUAUCGGAGAUGGAUGAGCCCGAGUUGGAUUAGCUAGUUGGUGGGGUAAAGGCCUACCAAGGCGACGAUCCAUAGCUGGUCUGAGAGGAUGAUCAGCCACACUGGGACUGAGACACGGCCCAGACUCCUACGGGAGGCAGCAGUGGGGAAUAUUGGACAAUGGGCGCAAGCCUGAUCCAGCCAUGCCGCGUGAGUGAUGAAGGCCCUAGGGUUGUAAAGCUCUUUCACCGGUGAAGAUAAUGACGGUAACCGGAGAAGAAGCCCCGGCUAACUUCGUGCCAGCCGCCGCGGUAACAC